GACAGAGGUGCCGAGCGUUAGGCGGAAUCACUGGGCUUAAAGCGUGUGUAGGCGGGCCGUUAAGUCUCUUGUGAAAUCCCCCGGCUCAACCGGGGAAUGGCUGGAUAUACUGGCGGUCUUGAGCAGUCCAGGGGCAGAUGGAACAGACGGUGGAGCGGUGAAAUGCGUAGAUAUCGUCUGGAACGCCAAAGGUGAAGACAGUCUGCUGGGGACUUGCUGACGCUGAGACACGAAAGCCAGGGGAGCGAACGGG
rnacentral:rRNA from 1 species